rnacentral:rRNA from 1 species
UACGUAGGGUGCAAGCGUUGUCCGGAAUUACUGGGCGUAAAGCGUGCGCAGGCGGUUCGUUAAGUCAGCUGUGAAAGCCCCGGGCUCAACCUGGGAAUUGCGGUUGAAACUGGCGAACUAGAAUCUGGCAGAGGGGGGUGGAAUUCCACGUGUAGCAGUGAAAUGCGUAGAGAUGUGGAGGAACACCGAUGGCGAAGGCAGCCCCCUGGGCUGAGAUUGACGCUCAGGCACGAAAGCGUGGGGAGCAAACAGG